UGGUGGAGUGAUUUGUCUGGUUAAUUCCGUUAACGAACGAGACCUCAACCUGCUAAAUAGUUUCCGUAAGUCUUCCGACUUGCGAGUAACUUCUUAGAGGGACUAUCGGUUCUUUAGCCGGUGGAGGUUUGAGGCAAUAACG
rnacentral:rRNA from 1 species